CUAUUGGGUUGUUGCUUGUUGAG
rnacentral:siRNA from 1 species